GACGAACGCUGGCGGCGUGCUUAACACAUGCAAGUCGAACGGAAAGGCCCAGCUUGCCGGGUGCUCGAGUGGCGAACGGGUGAGUAACACGUGGGUGAUCUGCCCCUAACUUCGGGAUAAGCUUGGGAAACUGGGUCUAAUACCGGAUAGGACAAUCGUUUAGUGUCGGUUGUGGAAAGUUUUUUCGGUUAGGGAUGAGCCCGCGGCCUAUCAGCUUGUUGGUGGGGUAAUGGCCUACCAAGGCGUCGACGGGUAGCCGGCCUGAGAGGGUGGACGGCCACAUUGGGACUGAGAUACGGCCCAGACUCCUACGGGAGGCAGCAGUGGGGAAUAUUGCACAAUGGGCGCAAGCCUGAUGCAGCGACGCCGCGUGGGGGAUGACGGCCUUCGGGUUGUAAACCUCUUUCGACAGGGACGAAGCUUUGGUGACGGUACCUGUAUAAGAAGCACCGGCUAACUACGUG
rnacentral:rRNA from 1 species